rnacentral:rRNA from 1 species
GAUGAACGCUGGCGGCGUGCCUAACACAUGCAAGUCGAGCGAUUUACUUCGGUAAAGAGCGGCGGACGGGUGAGUAACGCGUGGGUAACCUGCCUCAUACACAUGGAUAACAUACCGAAAGGUAUGCUAAUACAAGAUGAUAUAAGAGAUUCGCAUGGAUUUCUUAUCAAAGCUCCGGCGGUAUGAGAUGGACCCGCGUCUGAUUAGCUAGUUGGUAGGGUAACGGCUUACCAAGGCGACGAUCAGUAGCCGACCUGAGAGGGUGAUCGGCCACAUUGGAACUGAGACACGGUCCAAACUCCUACGGGAGGCAGCAGUGGGGAAUAUUGCACAAUGGGCGAAAGCCUGAUGCAGCAACGCCGCGUGAGCGAUGAAGGCCUUCGGGUCGUAAAGCUCUGUCCUCAAGGAAGAUAAUGACGGUACUUGAGGAGGAAGCCCCGGCUAACUACGUGCCAGCCGCCGCAGUAAGAC